rnacentral:lncRNA from 1 species
GGUUGCGAGGAGAAGAGGGGAUUCGAGUGCAGCAGCUAGGGUUGGGGAGGAGAAGAGAGGGUUUUGGAAUGAUUUUAUAAGUAAGAUUUAGCAAUUGAUAUAUUGGUUGCUUAAUUGAUUGCUAAAAAAAGAUAUAAUUUAAAAUUAUUUUUUAAUUUAAAAUAUUUGUUAAAAUUAUUCUUAGUUAAUUUUAUUUAGAAUAAAUAAAGACACCAAUUUUUUUUUAGAAUUCAAAUUUGUGAUUGAUAUUUUGGUUGC